ensembl:lncRNA
CUCCCCUGCAUUGUUAACUUGCUUUGUGGUUAGAGAUUAACCAUAGUGUCUACAAGUGGAGCUGGCAGGUGUAUUUUCCUUAAUAGGUCAAAUGCUUCCCAACUGUCCUUGGCAAUAACUAAACAGAAAGGGCAUUUUCUGCCCAAGGUUCAAGGAAAAGAGGCAUAACAUUUAGUUAGAAAAUAUGGAAGGUUUAUAUGGCUCAUUAGAUGAACUCUUGUGCCAAAUCUGAAAGAAGUCGUGUUGAGAGACAGCCCUGGGCUGGGACUGCCAGGCAAGUGUGUGAAGGCUUCUGCUGCUUUGUAAACAGAAUAACCAUUGAUUUUGAUUUUCUACACACUUGUGCCAAGAAAAGUCACAAGCCUAAAAGACAAAGUUGGACUCUAGGAAAUUAGGUAGGAGGAUUAAUGCUGCUGAUUUUCUGUGGAAAACUACUGCUUCCCAUGUGAACCAGGAUGUGCGGAAGUAAAACUCAUCUCCACUUGGACCGGCUGCAUUUCCAGUGUUCGUCAGUCCUCCGUGGGCAGCGGCUGCUGCGUGAGCCCAGCUCCAGUGUCUGUAGACCAGCGGUUAACACAUACACGCUUCACCGCACAACUUUCCAUAGCCAUUGACAUGCUGGCGUGCACCGUGCACGCUUAGGCAACACCAUUUGGCACUACCCCACGUGACACUCUUAGGAAAAACUUCUUUACGCCAUUGGGUUUUGAAGACACGGGUGAUAAAUGACUUAGAGCCCCGGAUUUUACUCCCACCUCUGCCACUUACCAGGGAGUCAGUAUCACACCGGACACUUAACCUUCUUAAAUUUGUCCCCUCAUCUGAAAAAUGGAACCUUUACUGAUGAUGUGCAGGGGUGCUCUGACGGCUGAAUGAGAGCACAAGCAGAGCAUCAUGGGAAGAGCCUGGUACCCAGGAGCCUGAGGUGCAGACCAGACGUGGGGCUCAGAGAGAAGAAAGGCCAGUUCAUUCUGGCGCCAAGCUUUCCCCUCCACCUCAGCCAGAAAACUCUUUAAUUAUUAGACUUCACGUGAGCUUCCUUUUGAAGAAAAAGAUACACAGUUAAAAUGAAUUGGUAAUUUACUGUAAUAGGGAAUUUAAGAAUGGAGUAAAAAAUAUGCCCAGGCCUGCAAAAAGUUCUGUUUAUUGGAGGUUAAUUGCCUUGUGAAGUGGGUUGCUAGAAGUGGUCCCUUAUAUAGACAGGUACGUAUGUCUGUCAAAAAGGGAAACACAGGUUAUACUCCAGAGGAGUGAUGGAAAACGAGUCCUGUGCGAAUUAGAUAGACGAAUUUGCUGCUGUGGGGAUGGGCCACGUGCCACAAGCUGCAGGACUGACGAUGCAGUACUGUUUAUUUUUUUUGUUUGAAUGAGUGCAUUUUUAUUCAUAGACCAAUAUAAUUUUGAAGCUGGAAGGAACUCAGACAUCUAUUCCUUCUUCAAUUUAUCUUUUUAUUGAGAUAUAAUUGACAUAUAUUAGUUUCAGGUGUACAAGGGAAUGAUUGAUAUUUGUAUACGUUGUGAAAUGAUCACAAUAGGACUAGUUGACAUCCAUGACCAGACAAAGUUACAGAACUCUUUUUUUCUUGUAAUGAGAACAUUUAAGAUCUACUCUCUUAGCAACUUUCAAAUAGACAAUGCAGUGUUCUUAACUGCAGUCACCAUGCUGUGCAUUACAUCCCACGACGUAUUUAUUUUCUAACUGUAAGUUUGUACCUUUUGACCUCUUUCACCCAUUUCGCCCACCCCCAACCUCCACCUCUGGCAACCACCAACCUGUUCUCUGUUAUCCAUGAAUGUGGGAUUUUUUUCUUUGAUUUUUGCUUGUUUGUUUUGCGUGUGUGUGUAAGGAAGUUGGCCUGAGCUAACAUCUGUUGCCAUUCUUUCUCUUUUCCCUUGAAGAAGAUUGUCGCUGAGUUAACAUCUGUGCCAAUCUUCCUCUAUUUUAUGUGGGAUGCUGCCACAGCAUGGCUUGACGAGUGGUGCUGGUUCUGCACCCAGGAUCCGAAGCUGGGACCCCCGGGCCACUGAAGUGGAGUGUGUGAACUUAACCGUCAUGCAACCGGGCUGGCCCUGUUGUUGUGUUUUUUAGAUUUCAUAUAUAUGUGAGAUCAUAUGGCAUUUCUCUUUCUCUGAUUUAUUUCACUUAACAUAAUGCCCUCAAAGUCCAUCUAUGUUUUUGUGAAUGGCAGGAUUUUCUUCUUUUAUAUGGCUUAAUAAUAUUCCAUUGUGUGGGAGUAUGUAAUAUAUAUACCUUACAUAUAUAUAUACACACACAUUACAUAUAUGUUAUGUAUGUACAUAUGCAUGUACACAUAUGUAAUGUGAUACAUAUAUCACAUUUUCUUUAUCCAUUCAUCCAGCAAUGGGUGCUUCCCACCAGUGGGUUGCUUCCACGUCUUGGCUACUGUAAGUGCUGCUGCUAUCAACAUGGGGGUGCAGGUAUUUCUUUCACAUAGCGUUAUUGUUUCCUUCAGACAUAUUCCCAGAAGCGAAAUUACUAGACCAUAUAGAUCAAUUUUUAACUGAUUCCAUAGUGGCUGCACCAGUUUACAUUCCCACCAGUGGUGCACACGAGUUCCCUUUUCUCCACGUCCUCGCCAAUGCUCAUUAUUUCUUCUCUUCUUGAUAAGAGCUAUUUUAACAGGUAUGAGACAAAAGCUCACUGUAGUUUUGAUUUGCAUUUCCCUAAUGAUUAGUGAUGCUGAGCAACUUUUCCUAGGCCUGUUGGCCAUCCAUAUCUUCUUUGGCAAAAUGUCUAUUCAGAUCCUCUGCCUAUUUUUUAAUUGGAUUUUGUGAUUUUUGCUAUUGAGUUGCCUGAGUUCUUUAUAUAUUUUUGAUAUAUAUUUUGGAUAUUAACCUCUUAUCAGAUAUUGGGUUUGCAAAUACUUUCUCUCAUUUUGUACCUUGCCUUUUCCUUUUGUCGGUGGUUUCCAUUUCCGUGCAGGAGAUUUUUAGUUAGUUGUUUUGCUCAUCUAUUUUUGCUUUUGUUGACUCUGCUUUUGGUGUCAAAUCCAAAAAAUCAUCUCCAAGACUGAAGUCAAGUUGCUUACCAUGUAUGUUUUCCUCUAGGAGUUUUAUGGUUUCAGGUCUUACAUUCAAGUCUUUAAUCCAUUUUGAGUUGAUUUUUGUGUAGGGUGUAAGAUAGGGGUCCAAUUUCAUUCUUUUGGCUGUCCAGUUUUCCAACACCAUUUAUUGAAGAGACUGCCAUUUCUUUUGUUGUUGUUGUUUUGAGGAAGAUUAGCCCUGAGCUAACAUCUGCCAAUCCUCCUCUUUUUGCUGAGGAAGCCUGGCCCUGAGCUAACAUCCGUGCCCAUCUUCCACUACUUUAUGUGUGGGAUGCCUACCAUAGCAUGGUGUGCCAAACGGUGCCAUGUCCGCCACCUGGAUUCGAACCGGCGAACCCUGGACUCCCGAGAAGCGGAACGUGCAAACUUAACUGCUUCACCACCGGGCCGGCCCCCAGACUGCCAUUUCUUCAUUGCAUAUUCUUUGCUUCUUUUUUAUAAAUUAAUUGACAUAUAUGCAUUGGUUAAUUUCUUGGCUUUCUAUUCUGUUCCAUUGAUCUAUGUGUAUGCUUUUAUGCCAGUGCCAUACUGUUUUGAUUCCUAUAGCUUUGUAAUGUAGUUUGAAAUCAGGGAGCAUGCUGCCUCCAGCUUUGUUCUUCUUUCUCAAGACUGCUUUGGCUCUUCAGGGUCUUUGUGGUUCCAUACAAAUUUUAGGAUUGUUUGUUCUAUUUCUUUGAAAAAUGCCAUUGAAAUUUUGAUAGGGACUGCAUUGAAUCUGUAGAUUGCUUUGGGUACUGUUUUAACAAUAUUAAUUUGUCCAAUCCAUAAGCACGGAAUAAC